GUAUUACCAUGAGUUCCUUGCAAGUCACUUCACGAGGCACUAUCCUAAGGGCUAUUGUGAAAUGUUUGGGGGAACUCUUGGUGUUAC
rnacentral:pre_miRNA from 1 species